rnacentral:rRNA from 1 species
GAUGAACGCUGGCGGCGUGCCUAAUACAUGCAAGUCGAGCGAACGGACGAGAAGCUUGCUUCUCUGAUGUUAGCGGCGGACGGGUGAGUAACACGUGGAUAACCUACCUAUAAGACUGGGAUAACUUCGGGAAACCGUAGCUAAUACCGGAUAAUAUUUUGAACCGCAUGGUUCAAAAGUGAAAGACGGUCUUGCUGUCACUUACAGAUGGAUCCGCACUGCAUUAGCUAGUUGGUAAGGUAACGGCUUACCAAGGCAACGAUGCAUAGCCGACCUGAGAGGGUGAUCGGCCACACUGGAACUGAGACACGGUCCAGACUCCUACGGGAGGCAGCAGUAGGGAAUCUUCCGCAAUGGGCGAAAGCCUGACGGAGCAACGCCGCGUGAGUGAUGAAGGUCUUCGGAUCGUAAAACUCUGUUAUUAGGGAAGAACAUAUGUGUAAGUAACUGUGCACAUCUUGACGGUACCUAAUCAGAAAGCCACGGCUAACUACGUG